AAACACAUGGGACCUUGUGGGUCCUUGUUUCUUCAAAUUGUGCAGUCUUCAUCAGGGGUAUCAGAAGGAGUAGUAUCUGGAUCAGUGAUAUUCAUUUGUUCAAUCCAAUCUUCAUGACUCCUUUUAUUUUUUCUUUUGUUUUCAAUGCUCUUCCAUUCUGGAUGGUAUUUAUGGAUUGAUCUUUGUGUAUUGGAAGAUCCUGGGUCUGAGUGAAAUCUUCAGGCAUUUGAGAAUCUUGAAAUUCUGAUGAGUUCAUUUUAUCAGUCCAUUCUUUUUUAGCGUUGCGAAUCUGGUAAAGCUGUCGGUGGCAAGACUUGUUGAGGCAAAGGUUCUUUUCUUGAAAAGAAAUCAGCAACAAGAUUAGUUUUCCCUUUAAUGUGUUUAACAUCAAAGGAAUAUUGAGAAAACCAUGCUGCCCAACGGAGGAGUUGCGGAUGUGCAAUUCAAACGAAGAGUUCCUUAUUUGAAAGUCAAACCGGUUCACACCACUGGCACUGCUGACCCAUGUUUUUAUCAGGUCUUCAAAUGAUUUAGUAUAUUCAUGAAGAUGGAAGAGCAUUCUUUAGCCAUCGUAGAGAGGACUAAGUGGAAACGCCAGCUAGAAAGGUUGUUUAUCUCCCUGCUGGAUCGAUAUCGAGAUGAGUUUCAUUAGAACAAAAUUUGUCUAGGAUAGAUCAGCAAGUACUAUUAUAUUUUUCCCUAAAGACUUGUUUAGCCAUGAUGAUCAGCAAGUGCUAUUAUUUUAACUAGUUAUAGAUUCAAAUUAUAGAUAAUCAGCUUUUAAAAAGUUCUUGUUGCUUUUAUAUUUUGAUUAUAGGAUUUUUUUAAUAACAGAAAAAGUUUCUAUAAUCAGAUUUUACAAAAUCUAAAGCAACUGAGAACAAGGCCAACAUGCUAUGGCUUUUCUCCAUUUACACCUGUUUAGGCAUUCUAAGUAACUUUAGUCUUCGUUUUCUAGAUUUUAAUCCUUUUAGCAAUAUCAUUUCUCAUUUAGGAUAGACCCUGAAAGUAAGAUUUCUUGCUUUUGUUCUUAGGUUUCAUUUUUUCAUACAAUGAGAUCAUUUGUCUUCUUGUUCUUUAUCUUUUCAUUUGUUUAUUUAUUUUUUUGAAAAAGUUUUGUAGACCAGUUUGAUUUGGUUCAAACUAACUAUUCUUGCACCAUAUAUUUUCCAAGGAUGGAACUGAGCUAGGGAACAAACUAGAGUGAAGAAACUGGUGUGUUGACCUUGGUUGAUCAGUCCUUGGUUUUGAUGAUUAACAAACCAAAAUGUAGAUUUGGACUAAUGUUUUUAUGUGAGAAAUUUGUUAGAACAGGUCAUUGAUCCAAAAGAGAAUCGAAAAGAUUUGAAUCAAAGAGAAGUUAAGAAAUAUGAAGGUUCGGACGUAGAGGAUCGGACGCUCGAUAGAGGAUCGGUCGUCCGACUGACAACGAUACUCUUCGGACGCUUGGAUCGGACGCUCAUUCAUUGCUUCGGCCGUCCGACACAAAAAGAAUGAACGUUGAACAUUCUGACUUCUAUCGGACGCAGGGUUCGGACGCAGAACAAAUGGUUCGGACGUCCGAUAGGUGGUUCGGACGCAUGGUUCGGAUGCAGAGCAAAUGGUUCGGACGUCCGACAGGCCAACGGCUAGUUUCGACAGCAUUUAAUAUUUGACCGUUGGAGAGCCUUUUGGAGCCAUUUCUCACCUUCUAUAAAUACCCCAAAGCACAAGAAAACACAAACUUUUUGCCAACACUAAAUACAAGCUUACAAGUAAGAUCUUUGAGUAGAAAUAUUCUUUGUUGGUUAUAUAAGGGGUUGGGAAAGUUGGGUUGUGAGGUUGCUCAAGUGGAGGUUACUCUCUAGGAGGAGUAAAAUCUUGGUGAAGGUGAACCUAUCACUUGGAGUGGUAAAACCUUGAUAAAGGUUGCCUCACUUGUAUAAAAUAGUUCUUAAUUGAAUGGGUAACUUUCAAUUGUAGCUAGUUGAGGGUUUACUUGGAGAGUAGUAAAAUUCCUUUGCUCAACCAAAGUAUGUUUGGGGUGAGGAAGGAGUGAGCCUUCACUUGUACAAGUUGGUUAGCACUACCAUCAAUUGAAGAAACUAUUUGGUGGAUUCAACUCCAAGUUUGGAAGAAGCUUGGGAGUUUGAUUGGUUUGAAUUUC